rnacentral:rRNA from 1 species
AGUGAGCGCUGGCGGUAGGCCUAACACAUGCAAGUCGAACGGCAGCACAGUAAGAGCUUGCUCUUACGGGUGGCGAGUGGCGGACGGGUGAGGAAUACAUCGGAAUCUACUUUUUCGUGGGGGAUAACGUAGGGAAACUUACGCUAAUACCGCAUACGACCUACGGGUGAAAGCAGGGGAUCUUCGGACCUUGCGCGAUUGAAUGAGCCGAUGUCGGAUUAGCUAGUUGGCGGGGUAAAGGCCCACCAAGGCGACGAUCCGUAGCUGGUCUGAGAGGAUGAACAGCCACACUGGAACUGAGACACGGUCCAGACUCCUACGGGAGGCAGCAGUGGGGAAUAUUGGACGAUGGGCGCAAGCCUGAUCCAGCCAUACCGCGUGGGUGAAGAAGGCCUUCGGGUUGUAAAGCCCUUUUGUUGGGAAAGAAAAGCAGCAGGUUAAUACCCCGCUGUUCUGACGGUACCCAAAGAAUAAGCACCGGCUAACUUCGUG